rnacentral:rRNA from 1 species
CGUAGGUAACCUGCCUGGUAGCGGGGGAUAACUAUUGGAAACGAUAGCUAAUACCGCAUAAGAGUAGAUGUUGCAUGACAUUUGCUUAAAAGGUGCAAUUGCAUCACUACCAGAUGGACCUGCGUUGUAUUAGCUAGUUGGUGGGGUGACGGCUCACCAAGGCGACGAUACAUAGCCGACCUGAGAGGGUGAUCGGCCACACUGGGACUGAGACACGGCCCAGACUCCUACGGGAGGCAGCAGAC